CAGUAGCCGCGGUAAUACGGAGGGUGCAAGCGUUAAUCGGAAUUACUGGGCGUAAAGCGCACGCAGGCGGUCUGUCAAGUCGGAUGUGAAAUCCCCGGGCUCAACCUGGGAACUGCAUUCGAAACUGGCAGGCUAGAGUCUUGUAGAGGGGGGUAGAAUUCCAGGUGUAGCGGUGAAAUGCGUAGAGAUCUGGAGGAAUACCGGUGGCGAAGGCGGCCCCCUGGACAAAGACUGACGCUCAGGUGCGAAAGCGUGGGGAGCAAACAGGAUUAGAUACCCCAGUAGUCCCUGUCUCUUAUAA
rnacentral:rRNA from 1 species